rnacentral:rRNA from 1 species
GACGAACGCUGGCGGCGUGCUUAACACAUGCAAGUCGAACGGAAAGGCCCUGCUUUUGUGGGGUGCUCGAGUGGCGAACGGGUGAGUAACACGUGAGUAACCUGCCCUUGACUUUGGGAUAACUUCAGGAAACUGGGGCUAAUACCGGAUAGGAGCUCCUGCUGCAUGGUGGGGGUUGGAAAGUUUCGGCGGUUGGGGAUGGACUCGCGGCUUAUCAGCUUGUUGGUGGGGUAGUGGCUUACCAAGGCUUUGACGGGUAGCCGGCCUGAGAGGGUGACCGGCCACAUUGGGACUGAGAUACGGCCCAGACUCCUACGGGAGGCAGCAGUGGGGAAUAUUGCACAAUGGGCGGAAGCCUGAUGCAGCAACGCCGCGUGCGGGAUGACGGCCUUCGGGUUGUAAACCGCUUUCGCCUGUGACGAAGCGUGAGUGACGGUAAUGGGUAAAGAAGCACCGGCUAACUACGUGCCAGCAGCCGCGGUGAUACGUAGGGUGCGAGCGUUGUCCGGAUUUAUUGGGCGUAAAGGGCUCGUAGGUGGUUGAUCGCGUCGGAAGUGUAAUCUUGGGGCUUAACCCUGAGCGUGCUUUCGAUACGGGUUGACUUGAGGAAGGUAGGGGAGAAUGGAAUUCCUGGUGGAGCGGUGGAAUGCGCAGAUAUCAGGAGGAACACCAGUGGCGAAGGCGGUUCUCUGGGCCUUUCCUGACGCUGAGGAGCGAAAGCGUGGGGAGCGAACAGGCUUAGAUACCCUGGUAGUCCACGCUGUAAACGGUGGGUACUAGGUGUGGGGUCCAUUCCACGGGUUCCGUGCCGUAGCUAACGCUUUAAGUACCCCGCCUGGGGAGUACGGCCGCAAGGCUAAAACUCAAAGGAAUUGACGGGGCCCCGCACAAGCGGCGGAGCAUGCGGAUUAAUUCGAUGCAACGCGUAGAACCUUACCUGGGUUUGACAUGGGUCGGGAGUGCUCAGAGAUGGGUGUGCCUCUUUUGGGGUCGGUUCACAGGUGGUGCAUGCCUGUCGUCAGCUCGUGUCGUGAGAUGUUGGGUUAAGUCCCGCAACGAGCGCAACCCUUGUUCACUGUUGCCAGCACGUUAUGGUGGGGACUCAGUGGAGACCGCCGGGGUCAACUCGGAGGAAGGUGGGGAUGACGUCAAGUCCUCAUGCCCCUUAUGUCCAGGGCUUCACGCAUGCUACAAUGGCUGGUACAGAGAGUGGCGAGCCUGUGAGGGUGAGCGAAUCUCGGAAAGCCGGUCUCAGUUCGGAUUGGGGUCUGCAACUCGACCUCAUGAAGUCGGAGUCGCUAGUAAUCGCAGAUCAGCAACGCUGCGGUGAAUACGUUCCCGGG